UACGUAGGGGGCAAGCGUUGUCCGGAAUUAUUGGGCGUAAAGCGCGUGUAGGCGGCUCGGUAAGUCUGCUGUGAAAGUCCAAGGCUCAACCUUGGAAAGCCGGUGGAUACUGUCGAGCUCGAGUCCGGAAGAGGCGAGUGGAAUUCCUGGUGUAGCGGUGAAAUGCGCAGGAUAUCAGGAGGAACACCAAUGGCGAAGGCAGCUCGCUGGGACGGUACUGACGCUGAGACGCGAAAGCGUGGGGAGCGAACAGG
rnacentral:rRNA from 1 species